rnacentral:rRNA from 1 species
GACGAACGCUGGCGGCGUGCCUAAUACAUGCAAGUAGAACGCACAGUUUAUACCGUAGCUUGCUACACCAUAAACUGUGAGUUGCGAACGGGUGAGUAACGCGUAGGUAACCUGCCUGGUAGCGGGGGAUAACUAUUGGAAACGAUAGCUAAUACCGCAUAAUAUUGAUUAUUGCAUGAUAAUUGAUUGAAAGAUGCUAUUGCAUCACUACCAGAUGGGCCUGCGUUGUAUUAGCUAGUAGGUGAGGUAACGGCUCACCUAGGCGACGAUACAUAGCCGACCUGAGAGGGUGAUCGGCCACACUGGGACUGAGACACGGCCCAGACUCCUACGGGAGGCAGCAGUAGGGAAUCUUCGGCAAUGGACGAAAGUCUGACCGAGCAACGCCGCGUGAGUGAAGAAGGUUUUCGGAUCGUAAAGCUCUGUUGUAAGAGAAGAACGGGUGUGAGAGUGGAAAGUUCACACUGUGACGGUAUCUUACCAGAAAGGGACGGCUAACUACGUG